rnacentral:rRNA from 1 species
ACUCCUACGGGAGGCAGCAGUGGGGAAUAUUGCACAAUGGGCGCAAGCCUGAUGCAGCAACGCCGCGUGAGCGAUGAAGGCCUUCGGGUCGUAAAGCUCUGUCCUCAAGGAAGAAUAAAUGACGGUACUUGAGGAGGAAGCCCCGGCUAACUACGUGCCAGCAGCCGCGGUAAUACGUAGGGGCAAGCGUUAUCCGGAAUCACUGGGCGUAAAGGGUGCGUAGGCGGUUUUUCAAGUCAGAAGUGAAAGGCUAUGGCUCAACCAUAGUAAAGCUUUUGAAACUGUUAAACUUGAGUGCAGGAGAGGAAAGUGGAAUUCCUAGUGUAGAGGUGAAAUUCGUAGAUAUUAAGGAGGAACACCAGUGGCGAAGGCGACUUUCUGGACUGUAACUGACGCUGAGGCACGAAAGCGUGGGAGCGAACAGGAUUAGAUACCCUGGUAGACUGUCA